rnacentral:rRNA from 1 species
ACAUAGGGUGCAAGCGUUGUCCGGAAUUAUUGGGCGUAAAGAGUUCGUAGGUGGUUCGUUACGUCGGAUGUGAAAAUCUGGGGCUCAACCCCAGACCUGCAUUCGAUACGGGCGAGCUAGAGUUUGGUAGGGGAGACUGGAAUUCCUGGUGUAGCGGUGGAAUGCGCAGAUAUCAGGAGGAACACCAAUGGCGAAGGCAGGUCUCUGGGCCAAUACUGACACUGAGGAACGAAAGCGUGGGGAGCGAACAGGAUUAGAUACCCUGGUAGUCCACGCCGUAAACGGUGGGCGCUAGUUGUGGGGACCUUCCACGGUCUCUGCGACGCAGCUAACGCAUUAAGCGCCCCGCCUGGGGAGUACGAUCGCAAGAUUA